rnacentral:lncRNA from 1 species
AUUUCAUCCCAAUGACAACAGGGGAAUUACACUGAAGGUUUUUGAGUAGAGGAAUGAAAUGGUCAGACAAUUGAUCUGGCGGCUCUGGGGUUGAUGGUUGGAAGAAAGGAGAACCUGGAAGAAGAGAAAUCACAAAGGUACCAUGUUGGAUGCAAAGACAAAAAGGAAACAGUCUCUGCCCUCAGACACUUGCAUUCUAAUGAAGAAGAAAACAAGUACAAAGGAAAGAUGAAACUUCUUCAACAGGAAAGUGACACUGUUUUGAAGAAUGUCAAUUUGGUGGAUAUGUGGAGAAAGAACUGCAAAAGGGAG